GUUAAACGGCCGCGGUAUUUUGACCGUGCAAAGGUAGCGCAAUCACUUGUCUUUUAAAUAAAGACCUGUAUGAAUGGUGGAACGAGGGCUUAACUGUCUCCUUACUCAAGUCAAUGAAAUUGAUCUCCCCGUGCAGAAGCGGGCAUAAAACUACAAGACGAGAAGACCCUUUGGAGCUUAAGAUAAAAAUCAACUAUGUCAAAAGACCUAAACAAAUCUAAACUAAAUAGACAAUGACCUAUAUCUUCGGUUGGGGCGACCACGGGAGACAAUUAAGCUCCCAUGCGGACUGGGGCAUAACCCCAAAACUAAGAGGGACACCUCUAAGUCGCAGAACAUCUGACCAUGCAGAUGGCCCUAUCCGCCGAUCAACGAACCAAGUUACCCUAGGGAUAACAGCGCAAUCCUCUUCCAGAGUCCAUAUCGACAAGAGGGUUUACGACCUCGAUGUUGGAUCAGGACAUCCUAAUGCGC
rnacentral:rRNA from 1 species